UACGUAGGUGGCAAGCGUUGUCCGGAUUUACUGGGCGUAAAGAGCGCGCAGGCGGUCGUGCAAGUCGCGUGUGAAAGCCCCCGGCUCAACUGGGGAGGGUCAUUCGAUACUGAUCGACUGGAAGGCAGGAGAGGGAAGCGGAAUUCCCGGUGUAGUGGUGAAAUGCGUAGAUAUCGGGAGGAACACCAGUGGCGAAGGCGGCUUCCUGGCCUGUUCUUGACGCUGAGGCGCGAAAGCUAGGGGAGCAAACGGG
rnacentral:rRNA from 1 species